GAGGUUCUAGCUCAUGAAGCAGUAGGACCUCGCCAGUAUGUGUAUGAAAAUGAAAGAAAGUAAACGGAAUAAGGAAUAAUAAUAUUUAUGGUCAAUGAGAGAUAACUGUGUUUGAAAGUUACAUUUUGUGUGAUUAUUGUGUUUUUUCGACUUUAAUAGAAUUUGAUGAUUUUUAAGAAUUGCACUGAAAUAUUGUUUAAUAAAUUUGAUGUCUGAAAAAGUAUAAUAUCAACAUAUAUUUUGAGAAACAUAACUUAGCAUAUAUUACUUUGUUUUUAAAUUAAAAUUCAUAUGUCUUGAUAAUAUCCAUGUGGCGAUGCCGUUUUUAUAUCUAACGACUUUCUAAAAAUAUGUAAACGUAAUUGUUAGUUUAAUCUUCCUUAGAAAGACGUAAAAGAACCCUGCUUGUUAAUAUUUAUACAGAAAACACGGUGAAUUUUGUAAUUGGCUGUUUGAUUGGUCCAUAGACACAUAUAUAUUUAAUUAACCCCGUGUCAGAACGUUUCUGUGAUUUUUAUAGACAAUCACUUAAUUCAAUAGUUCUGCAUUAAGUCCAUACUGUACACAUUUUUCCGAGAAUGAAGACACAGGAAAUAGUUUUAAAAUUCAUGAAAACUCAAAUAUAUUUGUGAGAAUCUAAUAAAUAGUUGUUUUUAUUCAAUUAAAUUAAACUAAAAUUAAAUUGUUUUUAACUUAAUUAUUUACAAAUAUAUCCUUGUGAAGCCGAUAAAUAAAUUUAUUUAACAGAU
rnacentral:misc_RNA from 1 species